rnacentral:rRNA from 1 species
AACGAACGCUGGCGGCGUGUCUUAAGCAUGCAAGUCGUUCGGCAAGGCGGGGCAACCUGCCCUCGAGCGGCGGACUGGUGAGUAACGCGUGGGUGAUCUGCCCUUGGGAUGGGGAUCGCCUCUAGAAAUAGAGGGUAAUACCGAAUACGUUCGGCGGGGUAAGCCCCUCGAGCAAACGCGCUUCGGCGCUGCCCGCGGAUGAGCCCGCGUCCCAUUAGCUAGUUGGUGAGGUAACGGGCCACCAAGGCUAUGAUGGGUAGCCGGCCUGAGGGGGUGUACGGCCACACUGGGACUGAGAUACGGCCCAGACUCCUACGGGAGGCAGCAGCUAAGAAUAUUCCGCAAUGGACGAAAGUCUGACGGAGCGACGCCGCGUGGAUGACGAAGGCCGAAAGGUUGUAAAGUCCUUUUGUUGGGGAAGAAUAACCAUGGGAGGGAAUGCCCGUGGGAUGACAUGAACCGACGAAUAAGCCCCGGCUAACUACGUGCCAGCCGCCGCAGUAA